rnacentral:rRNA from 1 species
UACGUAGGUCCCGAGCGUUGUCCGGAUUUAUUGGGCGUAAAGCGAGCGCAGGCGGCUUAAUAAGUCUGAAGUUAAAGGCAGUGGCUUAACCAUUGUUUGCUUUGGAAACUGUUAAACUUGAGUGCAGAAGGGGAGAGUGGAAUUCCAUGUGUAGCGGUGAAAUGCGUAGAUAUAUGGAGGAACACCGGUGGCGAAAGCGGCUCUCUGGUCUGUAGCUGACGCUGAGGCUCGAAAGCGUGGGGAGCAAACAGG